UAUAUUUUCUGAGGUGUCCUGAGUCCUCUCUGCUGUGAGGUAAUAAUGACUUCAAACAUCCCAGCUGGAGAGCAAUCAGACACAAGUGUUUCACAUUAGACAAAAUUAGAUCAAAAAGAUCCAAAUCCAACCUUCAGAGUGAUGUUAUGUCUGGUCAAGUGACCCAGAUUCCCCCAGAAGCCCCCCGGCAGCAGCGGACCCGCUACCUGCUUCCUGGUCUGCAGCUUAACACGAGGUCACGAGAUAGACGGCCUGCAGGAGAAAUGCUGCACAUGUGAAAGUUCUUUGCUCUGCUGAUCUCUCAGCUGUGACAAAUCAGCAUCAGCAAGCAAAGAUUGGACCUCACUCCAACAAGUGACCGGUCUGGCCGGCGGCUGUGCGUGCAGGGAUUGAGCCAUUUUCAUCCCAGGAAUCGUCUCCCCACAUGCAAAAAAAAGUUUCCAGAGAGUGCUUCAUGUCUGACUAGGUGGGAACACUUUGCAACUGCCUAAAGUUUUUUUUUUUUUCUUUUCCCCUCCUGGAAGUCACCGAGAACAGGAUGCGCUCUUCACGGGAGCCAAGGGGAGCUUGGCUUGCUUGCCUGAGCUCCCCUGAAAAACAUCAUUUGUGAAAUUUUGUGUGGUCACUAAAAUAUUUUAUUAUUUUUGCUGUGCAUUUCUUUUAUUCUGUAUCUUCACCAUCAUGGAUCAUGUGUAAAAUUAGGCAUUUUAUUUUUGUGUGACUGGGUGAUGAUGAUGAUGAUGAUGAUCCCCCACAAAAAAGGGUAAUAAACAAUCAUAAAGCCUCCAAAAACUUCCUUAA